rnacentral:rRNA from 1 species
AGAGUUUGAUCCUGGCUCAGGACGAACGCUGGCGGCGUGCUUAAGACAUGCAAGUCGUACGAGAAAGUCUCUUCGGAGAUGAGUAAAGUGGCGCACGGGUGAGUAACGCGUGGGUAAUCUGCCCUUAGGUUUGGGAUAACCCCGGGAAACCGGAGCUAAUACCGAAUGAGACCACGAUGACUUCGGUCGAUGUGGGAAAAGGUGGCCUCUUCUUGAAAGCUAUCGCCAAAGGAUGAGCCCGCGUUUGAUUAGCUAGUUGGUGAGGUAAUGGCUCACCAAGGCUACGAUCAAUAGCUGGUCUGAGAGGA